rnacentral:misc_RNA from 1 species
AAUUGAAAAAAGAUACAAUGAACAGAGGGGCAACUUUCCUUGUAGAGUGAACAGAGCGCUUAGCAGCAGAUGGGACAAGAUUAGAGCAGAUGUUAGUAAGUUUGUUGGCUACUACGCAAGAGUUAUAAGAGAGAAACAAAGUGGGUUAACUGAUGACGACAAGGUAACCCAAAUUUUACCGACUUUAAAUCAUGUACAAAUGAUUGUAUACAUGUUAACACAUUUGUAAAAUGAAACCAUAAUUUGUACAGACAUCGAAGGCGGCAACAUUAUUUGCACACGAGGAGAACAAACCUUUCUAGUACAUGCAUUGCUGGCACCAACUAAAGGGAGAACCCAAAUGGGAGAGCAUUUGUAGUGGACAAUCGUUCCGCGGAUUGAAUGCAAAUCCAAUUGGCUCAACAGGUACUCCGUAUGCUCCCACAACUGAAAAUGAUAGUGCAUCUGCAGGGUUGACAGGAAAAAGGCCGCGUGGUCGUGAUUUCAGUAAAUCAGAGAGAAACAAACCUGCAUCAUCGUCAUCUCCAGAGUACCUUAGCCGUUUGCAAGAAAUAACUGAAAAACAAAUUCAGAGGUCCAUAGAAAAGGGUGAAAAGAAAGAGAAGUGCUCAGAAGAAGACAUGGAAAUGGAGAAAAAGAGGUUGGAAUUGGAAGCAGAAAAGGUCAUAAUACGAAAAAGGGAAUUGAAACUUCAAGAACUAGAUUGUGCUGAAAAAAGAUUACAAAGGCUGGAGGCAACGAAUGAAGAAGAUGUCGAACCCGAAGUUUGGAUUAUGAUGAAACAACAAAAAAAGAAGUUGCAAGAAUUCAUAUUUGGUUAUGAGUGAAACAUAUAUUCGGUUACUCGUAACUUGAGCUUGUUCACCCAACCGGUUUCUAUUAUUUGCUUAUGUCAGAACGUUACAUUUGUUUGGCAGACCAUUAUAUUUUUGUUCGAACCAUAAGUCGUCAAGGACAGUCAUGCUGUGUUGUUUGUUGUAUGGUG